CUAUCGUGUACAUCACUAACACUAUCACUAUCAUUGUGUACAUCACUGUGUACAUCACUAAUACUAUCACCAUCAUUGUGUACAUCACAAAACCUAUCACUAUCGUGUACAUCAUUAACACUAUCACCAUCGUGUACAUCAUUAAAACUAUCACUAUCGUGUACAUCACUAAAACUAUCAUCAUCAUUGUGUACAUCACUAACCCUAUCACUAUCAUUGUGUACAUCACUAGCACUAUCACUAUCAUUGUAUACAUCACUAAAACUAUCACUAUCAUUAUGUACAUUACUAGCACUAUCACUAUCAUUGUGUACAUCACAACAACUAUCACUAUCAUUGCAUACAUCACUAAACCUAUCACUAUCAUUGUGUAUAUCACUAUCACUAUCACUGUCGUGUACAUCACUUAAACUAUCACUAUCAUUGUGUACAUCACUAUCACUAUCGUGUACAUCACUUAAACUAUCACUAUCAUUGUGUACAUCACUAAAACUAUCACUCUC